rnacentral:rRNA from 1 species
UACGUAGGGGGCGAGCGUUGUCCGGAUUUAUUGGGCGUAAAGAGCUCGUAGGCGGUUCACUAAGUCGGGUGUGAAACCUCCAGGCUCAACCUGGAGACGCCACCUGAUACUGGUGUGACUAGAGUCCGGUAGGGGAGUGUGGAACUCCUGGUGUAGCGGUGAAAUGCGCAGAUAUCAGGAAGAACACCAGCGGCGAAGGCGGCACUCUGGGCCGGUACUGACGCUGAGGAGCGAAAGCGUGGGUAGCAAACAGG